CGUGGGCAAUCUGCCCUUCACUCUGGGACAAGCCCUGGAAACGGGGUCUAAUACCGGAUAACACUCUGUCCCGCAUGGGACGGGGUUAAAAGCUCCGGCGGUGAAGGAUGAGCCCGCGGCCUAUCAGCUUGUUGGUGGGGUAAUGGCCUACCAAGGCGACGACGGGUAGCCGGCCUGAGAGGGCGACCGGCCACACUGGGACUGAGACACGGCCCAGACUCCUACGGGAGGCAGCAGUGGGGAAUAUUGCACAAUGGGCGAAAGCCUGAUGCAGCGACGCCGCGUGAGGGAUGACGGCCUUCGGGUUGUAAACCUCUUUCAGCAGGGAAGAAGCGAAAGUGACGGUACCUGCAGAAGAAGCGCCGGCUAACUACGUGCCAGCAGCCGCGGUAAUACGUAGGGCGCAAGCGUUGUCCGGAAUUAUUGGGCGUAAAGAGCUCGUAGGCGGCUUGUCACGUCGGAUGUGAAAGCCCGGGGCUUAACCCCGGGUCUGCAUUCGAUACGGGCU
rnacentral:rRNA from 1 species